AGGCCCAAGCGACUGUUUACCAAAAACAUAGGUUUCUGCUAAGUCGCAAGACGAUGUAUAGGAGCUGACGCCUGCCCGGUGCUGGAAGGUUAAGGGGAUCUGUUAGAGCAAUCGAAGCAGUGAACUUAAGCCCCAGUAAACGGCGGCCGUAACUAUAACGGUCCUAAGGUAGCGAAAUUCCUUGUCGGGUAAGUUCCGACCCGCACGAAAGGCGUAACGAUUUGGGCACUGUCUCAACAACAGACUCGGUGAAAUUGUAAUUCCGGUGAAGAUGCCGGAUACCUGCGACAGGACGGAAAGACCCCAUGGAGCUUUACUGUAGCUUGACAUUGGGUCUUGGUACUACAUGUACAGGAUAGGUGGGAGGCUUUGAAACCAGGACGCCAGUUUUGGCGGAGCCAUCCUUGGGAUACCACCCUUGUAGUACUGGGACUCUAACCAUAGGCCAUGAAUCUGGUCUUGGGACACUGUCAGGUGGGCAGUUUGACUGGGGCGGUCGCCUCCCAAAAGGUAACGGAGGCGCUCAAAGGUUCUCUCAGUACGGUCGGAAAUCGUACGUAGAGUGUAAAGGCAAAAGAGAGCUUGAUUGCAAGACAUACAGGUCGAGCAAGGAUGAAAAUCGGACUUAGUGAUCCGGUGGUUCUGCGUGGAAGGGCCAUCGCUCAACGGAUAAAAGCUACCCUGGGGAUAACAGGCUUAUCUCCCCCAAGAGUCCACAUCGACGGGGAGGUUUGGCACCUCGAUGUCGGCUCAUCACAUCCUGGGGCUGUAGUAGGUCCCAAGGGUUGGGCUGUUCGCCCAUUAAAGUGGUACGCGAGCUGGGUUCAGAACGUCGUGAGACAGUUCGGUCCCUAUCCGUCGCAGGCGUAGGAAAUUUGAGAAGACCUGUCCUUAGUACGAGAGGACCGGGAUGGACG
rnacentral:rRNA from 1 species